rnacentral:lncRNA from 1 species
GUACAAGCUGACCGUGUUUCUUAGGGAACACAGUCUCUAAUGAAGUGAUUUGCCUUCUCUGGGGAUCUGGUUCAUGAAGCUUCCUCUUAACUUGUAUGGGGAGCAAGUCUGGACAAAACGCUGCGGCUUGGGCUUGUGAGGUGACAUUUUGUUCCAUUAUAUAUGUUUGCCAUCAGCUGGAGGUGCUGCCUCACUACAGGACUAAAACAGCGAAUCUAGCCCACCAUGGGCUGAAAACUCUGAAAUUCAGAGUCCAAAAUAACCUUUUUUUUCCUCGCACAUCCAUUGGAGCCUACUUCUUCAGGAUUCCAGCUUAUACAGCAGACCAGCUGAGACACCUAGCUUCAUAGGACCGAGAAACUACUAGAUUCUUGGACUUUCCCUUCACAGCUGGCCAUUGUUGGCUUAGUUGGACUGCAGCUUCCCAAUCAGGUUCCAUGUGAGUGAAGGUCCUCUAGGCCCUUGUACACAAUAUCAGAGAAUGUGAAUACCAGACACUCAUUAUUCACAGUUGUGGAGUCUGGGAAGUCCAAGAUCAAGAUGGUGACAAGUUUGUUUCCUGUGAUGGGGAGAGAAUGAUUUGGAAACCAACUCUGAGAAGACAGGUAAACUGAGGUGGGGUGUGGAGUUAGUGACUGAUUACCCAUUAGAAUUUUUUCUGAGGGAACAAAAACUUGAUUCUCUUGGGCAGGAAAAAGACUCCC